rnacentral:rRNA from 1 species
CCUACGGGAGGCAGCAGUGGGGAAUAUUGCACAAUGGGGGAAACCCUGAUGCAGCGACGCCGCGUGCGUGAAGAAGUAUUUCGGUAUGUAAAGCUCUAUCAGCAGGGAAGAAAUAGCGACCUUUGGGUCGCCAGACGGUACCUGACUAAGAAGCCCCGGCUAACUACGUGCCAGCAGCCGCGGUAAUACGUAGGGGGCAAGCGUUAUCCGGAUUUACUGGGUGUAAAGGGAGCGUAGACGGCAGGACAAGUCUGAAGUGAAAUGCCGGGGCUUAACCCCGGAACUGCUUUGGAAACUGUGGAGCUAGAGUGCAGGAGAGGUAAGUGGAAUUCCUAGUGGAGCGGUGAAAUGCGUAGAUAUUAGGAGGAACCCCAGUGGCGAAGGCGGCUUACUGGACUGUAACUGACGUUGAGGCUCGAAAGCGUGGGGAGCAAACAGGAUUAGAUACCCUGGUAGUC